UAGAAGGCGUCGAGCGGCGGACGGGUGAGUAAUGCUUAGGAAUCUACCGAGUAGUGGGGGAUAGCCAUUGGAAACGAUGAUUAAUACCGCAUAUAUCCUACGGGGGAAAGCAGGGGACCUUCGGGCCUUGCGCUAUUCGAUGAGCCUGAGUGAGAUUAGCUAGUUGGUGGGGUAAAGGCCUACCAAGGCGACGAUCUCUAGCUGGUCUGAGAGGAUGAUCAGCCACACUGGGACUGAGACACGGCCCAGACUCCUACGGGAGGCAGCAGUGGGGAAUAUUGCACAAUGGGCGAAAGCCUGAUGCAGCCAUGCCGCGUGUGUGAAGAAGGCCUUAGGGUUGUAAAGCACUUUCAGCGAGGAGGAAAGGUUAGUAGUUAAUAACUGCUAGCUGUGACGUUACUCGCAGAAGAAGCACCGGCUAAUUUAGUGCCAGCAGCCGGCGGU
rnacentral:rRNA from 1 species